UACGUAGAAGACAAGUGUUAUUCAUCUUUAACAGGUUUAAAGGGUACCUAGACGGAAAAUCAAGCCAUAGUAGGGACUAAUUUUCUAGAGUUUUAUGUGUGAAGAUCGAAUUACCUGAAGAGCAAUAAAAUGCAUUGACACAGGGAAGACGGGUAGCGGCGAAGGCAAUCUUCUAUGUAGAAACUGACGUGAGGACGAAGCCUUGGGGAGCGAGAGG
rnacentral:rRNA from 1 species